GAAGUAGGACGGUUGAUCGCGAGUAGGCAUACUUGGGCCUAUUUUGAGGAAAGUCCGGACUCUAAGGGCAAGAUACUGGUUAACAACCAGAGGGAGUGAUCCCUGAAUAGGGCCAUAGAAAAGAAAACCGCCGAAAGGCAAGGGUGGAACGGUGAGGUAAGAGCUCACCAGUGUCAGAGCGAUCUGGCAGCUUGGUAACCUCUAUCUUGAGCAAGGUCAAACAAGAAGGCCAGAGGUUGCCCGCCGAGAGACUUUAGUGUCCGCCUUCUGGGUAGACCGCGUAGAUUAAUGGUUAACUUUACAGAAUCCGGCUUAUAGUCCUACUGAUAUA
rnacentral:RNase_P_RNA from 17 species